CCUACGGGCGGCAGCAGUGGGGAAUAUUGCACAAUGGGGGAAACCCUGAUGCAGCAACGCCGCGUGAGUGUAGAAGUAUUUCGGUAUGUAAAGCUCUAUCAGCAGGGAAGAAAAUGACAGUACCUGACUAAGAAGCCCCGGCUAACUACGUGCCAGCAGCCGCGGUAAUACGUAGGUGGCAAGCGUUGUCCGGAAUUACUGGGUGUAAAGGGAGCGUAGGCGGGAAAGCAAGUUGAAUGUUUAAGGUACGGGCUCAACCUGUACAAGCGUUCAAAACUGUUUUUCUUGAGUGGAGUAGAGGUAAGCGGAAUUCCUGGUGUAGCGGUGAAAUGCGUAAAUAUUAGGAGGAACCCCAGUGGCGAAGGCGGCUUACUGGGCUUUAACUGACGCUGAGGCUCGAAAGCGUGGGUAGCAAACAGGAUUAGAUACCCGGGUAGUC
rnacentral:rRNA from 1 species